ACGCACGCUGGCGGCGUGCUUAACCCAUGCAAGUCGUGCGGUAAGGCCCUUUCGGGGGUACACGAGCGGCGAACGGGUGAGUAACACGUGAGCAACCUGCCCUUCACUUUGGGAUAACUGCCGGAAACGGUGGCUAAUACCGGAUAUGACUUCCUCACGCAUGUGGGGUGGUGGAAAGCCUUCGGGUGGUGGGGGAUGGGCUCGCGGUCUAUCAGCUUGUUGGUGGGGUGAUGGCCUACCAAGGCUUCGACGGGUAGCCGGCCUGAGAGGGUGGCCGGCCACACUGGGACUGAGACACGGCCCAGACUCCUACGGGAGGCAGCAGUGGGGAAUAUUGGACAAUGGGCGAAAGCCUGAUCCAGCAACGCCGCGUGAGGGAUGACGGCCUUCGGGUUGUAAACCUCUUUCGCCUGCGACGAAGCGAGAGUGACGGUAGCAGGUAAAGAAGCACCGGCCAACUACGUG
rnacentral:rRNA from 1 species